rnacentral:rRNA from 1 species
CAGCAGCCGCGGUAACACCAGCACCUCGAGUGGUCAGGAGGUUUAUUGGGCCUAAAGCAUCCGUAGCCGGUUGCAUAAGUUUUCGGUUAAAUCUAUGCGCUUAACGUAUAGGCCGCCGAAAAUACUGUGCAGCUAGGGAGUGGGAGAGGUACACGGUACUCGAUAGGAAGGGGUAAAAUCCUUUGAUCUAUUGAUGACCACCUGUGGCGAAGGCGGUGUACCAGAACACGUUCGACGGUGAGGGAUGAAAGCUGGGGGAGCAAACCGGAUUAGAUACCCCAGUAGUCCCUGUCUCUUAUAC